rnacentral:rRNA from 1 species
GAGUUAGCUGGGGACUCUAAAGGAACUGCCUACGCAAGUAGUGAGGAAGGCGGGGAUGACGUCAAAUCAGCACGGCCCUUACGUCCAGGGCUACACACGUGCUACAAUGGCCGAUACAGAGGGCAGCUACCUGGUGACAGGAUGCAAAUCUCCAAAGUCGGUCUCAGUUCGGAUCGGAGUCUGCAACCCGACUCCGUGAAGUUGGAUUCGCUAGUAAUCGCGCAUCAGCCAUGGCGCGGUGAAUACGUUCCCGGGCCUU